rnacentral:rRNA from 1 species
UACGUAGGUGGCAAGCGUUGUCCGGAUUUACUGGGCGUAAAGAGCGCGCAGGCGGUCGUUCAAGUCGCGUGUGAAAGCCCCCGGCUCAACUGGGGAGGGUCACGCGAUACUGAUCGACUCGAAGGCAGGAGAGGGAAGUGGAAUUCCCGGUGUAGUGGUGAAAUGCGUAGAUAUCGGGAGGAACACCAGUGGCGAAGGCGGAUCUCUGGGCCUUACCUGACGCUCAGGCGCGAAAGCUAGGGGGAGCGAACUGG